UCCGCCAAAGACCGUAUCCCUAAGCUCUGAUACCAACUGUGACGCCCCCAAAAUAAGUCCACACAACCCAUUCUGAGUCGCCAAAUACAUGGUACAGAAACUACAAACCUCAUUAUUACAAUUGUCGUACAAAAUACGACAACACAUAUACUGUGAGUUUAAAUAUAAAUAUUAUCUUUUAGACAAUAUCCAAACUCAAAUAAGUCCUCAUUACAAUUAUUGAUAUACUAUUUUAUAAAAUAGUAAGGACUGCUAAAACAAUUGUCUGGACCCAUCACUCCACACCCCGACUAGUUCCCGCUAUAUUCUCGCCUCCUGAGAAAAAAAAUUGAACAAAAAGGAAAGGGUGAGCUCAACUAGGCCAGUAAAGAAUAUUAUGACUAAUAUAAUGAACAAAAAGUUAUCGUUAGCCAUCAAAAAAUUAGAAAAAAAAUAUAGUGGACAACAAGUUUUAGACAAUAUUCGCAGCGAAAAUAACAAUUAAUUAGAAGAGUUAAAUAGAGAAUGAAAUCGACUAUCUUCUAUGAUUUAAAAGUCCAUCAUCAAUAUUUUAUCCCUGUAACAUCAAUAAAUAUAUAUCUUGAACCAAAUAUUCAUCUUUGCACUACGGGCCAAAGAUAUUCAUUUGUAUCACUAGUUGGUCAUGUUCAUCUCAACACCUGUCCAUAUUUGCACUACGGGCCAAAGAUAUUAAUCAGGUAAUCAUUCAUCUUUACACUACAGGCCAAAGAUAUUUAUCAAGUAUCACCAUUUAAGAUUGAGGAUGAUGAAAAAUAUCUUAAAGAAACGAAUCCAGUGAGAUUAAAGGACAAAGAUUAGAGAUUCGUACUUUGGUUUAUCUAAAUUCAAAAAUACUCCAUAAUAAUCAAUUGUGGAGCAAAAUUUAAGAAUGAAGAUCAAAACAUAGAUACAAUCAAUGAUUGUAACCAUAAUAGACUACUUGGACAAAGAAAAAAAAAGUAAUUUUUCUGUGAAUAGUGUCGUAUACGUGAAUAGUAACCCCGACACAAAAGAUAACAAUUUUAUAAGAAAAAUCAUACUUCGUGAAUAGUACUCGUGAAUAGUACCGUAUUCGUGAAUAGUGCCGUAUACGUGAAUAGUAUCGUAUACGUGAAUAGUAACCUCGACAUGAAAAGGUAAAAAUUUCAUAAUAAAAUUCAUACCAAUAUUUCGGUAUAAUGAUAUUGAAAAAAAUAACAUCAUUUAUGAAGAAAAUAACAUCCCUUACCUCAAAAAAACAGUACUUCUGAUUAAAAUAUCGGAUAUAAUAUUGAAGAAAACUUGCACUGAAUAGCAACUCUCAAAGUAUCUAACUACUCACAAAAAUAUGCUCAAUAUUAUAGAGAGAAAACUUCUUAUUCUGAUGUGAUUUUCAAUUCUAACUAAGCACCCUAUUUAUAGGAAAAUGCCAGAAUGCCAAAGCAGCCUAAAAUUUAAUAAAAUAAUAUUUUAAUAAAAAAAAAAUUCACUCACACCUCUUGACCAAACUCAGCACACCACAAGUGGGGCCCACCAAUUUCAAAAAAUUCUACAACUAAAAGUGUGGCCCACCCAUGUUUUUAAUAAAAACAUUUAUUUCUGAAACUUCAAUAAUUCAUAAUAAAUAGCCCUUUUAUCAUAAAAAUACGAAUUUUAUGUCCAUUCCAUAGGAAAUUCUCUACAACUUUGUAGAAUAAAGUUUUUCCAAAUUCCCAGCAGAAAUGAUCGAAAUCCACAUACGGAUGAUUUUAAAUACCUCCAUUUCGACAAAAUACUGAUAAAACUCUUCAGCAUUAAUUCCUUCAUUUAUAUCCACAUAAAAUAAAUAUUUCCUUAUCAUAUAAAUCAAUAAUUAAUUAUUCAUAAAUAAUAUUACAGAAUCACAAUAAUGACAAUCAGGUCGUUUCUAGAAAAGAGGGGGCUUUCCGAUAAAGAUUUCUCCUUACUAGCGCGCAAUUAGGUGACCAAACCCUUUUCCUAGACAGAACUUCCUUAGACAUUGUCAAUAAUGUUAUCUAAUAAUGUUAUUCAAAUAAUAUGAAUUAUUGAUCUGAUAAUGGAAAAUACUUUGCAGUGACAAUUAUUGAAACAACAAUAAUAUAAAAUAUCAGUGUCACAAUUAUUGAAUCAAUAAAAUAAAAUAUUGAACAGUAAUUACUGUAGCAAUUAUUGAGUAGUGUCUUCUUAUGUAAGAAUCAAUAAUCCAAAAAAACUAUUGUGCAAUACCGUGUCCUACAGUGCAACCACGCGUAUUACUAUACUUUAACCACUAACAGUGUUAAUGGUAACAACUACGCCGUUAUUUAUAAAAAUAACUCAUACUUGUCGUUUUUUUCAUCCGACAGUUUUUCGUUAUGGGACCCACAAAUGGCUGCGCCAUCGUACUAAUAUUCCCCGACAUCAAGAAUAUUCCACGACCAAAUGAAUAUUCCCCGACAAAAAUGAAUAUUUAUAACCAGUUGCUUAUUUUGCAAAAUUUGCACAUAUCACCCAUAACCAAAGCAUUAUAUCAAAUUAACACCUUAUUAUUCAAAAUAAUAAUUAGAGAAAAUUUAAUUUUAUUUAUAAAAAGUUGGGGUCUUACAAUACCAAGUCCAGAAUAGAUAUCGGUUGAGGUGCUUCUUUCAAGCUUUGCACCACCAUGAUUUCAUUAUAUCCCAUCUUGCGGAGGAAUUCUUCAAUUUUCUCCUUGGACACUUUCCCCUUAUAUCUGAUGACUAGCUUCAUCACUCGUUGAGGGAGAUACAACGGAAUUUCUUUGGAUACCGUAGCAGUUGUAUUUGAUGUGGAUCCUUUAACAUCCCCAUAGUUCCAUGGGACUUUCUUAAGGCUGGUGAUAGGAUAUUGUGGCAUGAAUGGAAAUACCAGUGGUUCUGGUGCCGCCACCUUCAAAGGGUUUUCAACUCCUUUGAGCUUGAUUGGUUAAAUUAUAAGGGGUGUGGCAACCAGGUCUCCCUCAGAGGAUAUAACUGCUAUGAUUUCUCUCCAUCUUUGCACUCCUGGAGGAAAUGUUUUUCCACUCUUGGGCAAUACGAUGUCAUCGUCUGCCAUUUACAGGUCACCGCUGUCAAUUAUAUUUUGGAUAAGAUAACGGAGUGCCCAGCAUCCUUCAGUGCUGUGACCACGAGAAUGGGAGUGGUAUUGAUAGACUCCACUAGCAUCAAAUCUUUUUGAGUUUGGGUUAAUUGGGGGUAGUAGUGCUGUGAUUUUUCCCUCAUUGAUCAGCAUCUACAAUAUUUCUUCCACGGUUGGCCUAAAUGGGUGAGCUUUCUUUUGUUGAAAAAAUCCUGACGGGCUUGAGCUCUUGCUUUUCUUGCAAGCUUUUCCUCCAAGGUUUCACUUUCUUGGGUCUGUGGUGGAUUCUUUGUGAUAAGGGAGAGGAGACUUGCAUGCUCUUGACUGAACAACUGUCGUGUGACUUGGUGUUGAUGUAUCACCAGUUCUGCUAGUUGAUUAACCUGUUCAUCAAUAAACUUCAACUCUCGUUCCAUCAUAAACUGGAACUCCGAAUAAUCCCACUUUUUGGAAUUAUCUUUGCUGAUUUGGGGAGAACCACCCACAUAUUUGAGGUACUUGGAACUCUCUCCACUGCCUCUAUUGACCAUGUUAACAUCUUCUUCCUUGUGUUGAGGGAGAGGGUUAUCUUGAACAUGUUGUUGUUCGGGCUUUGUCACCAUGAUCUCACCAUUGUCUAUUAAGUUCUGGAUCUUAUGCUUGAGGGCUCAACAAUCUUGGGUCUCGUGACCUGGAGCUCCAGAAUGGUAAACACAAUUCUUGCUUGUAUUGAAGCUCUUUCCACUUGGAUUGGCUGGUGGAAGGAGAUGAGUGAUUUUCUUCUGAGCUGUCAAAAGUUUGAAAAUGCUUUCCAGUGAGUCCUCUAAGGGUGUGAACACUCUUGAACGUUUGACUUCUCCACUUUUUGUCAAGGGAGGAUUUGAAGAUUGUGCUUGAAAAGGGAAAUAGUCUCUCCUUUGAAUAGGCAGGCUUUGAUUGCCUUUUUGAUUUUGUCCUUGCAAUAUCAAGGAGGCAUCCUCUUCUUUCUUCUUAUGGACCCUCCAGGGGUUGUUCCCAUAACUUCUAGAUUGGAUAUGCUCAGCUACGACUUUUAAAGUAGCAAUGUCUUAAAUCUUCCUAGAUUUUAACCCCAUCUCUGCCAUUUCACCGUGCCUGAUCAUUUUUGAGAAUGGUUUUCCUAUACCGACUAGGACCCUCUCAUAAAAUGGAGCUUCUUGAAUAUCUAUGAAGGUCAUCACCAUCUCAGUCUCUGUCAUGGAGGGGAUUACUUGAGCAUCCAGACGCCUCCAUCUUUGGACAUACUCUCUGAAUGACUCAUUGACUUGCUUCUUGACUUUGGUAACCUGGUACCUAUUUGGAGCCAUCUGAGUUUGAAAGUUGUAUUGAUUGAGGAAAGCAUGGGCUAAUUCCUCCCAGCUGUGGAUCUUGGAGUUAUCCAGUCUGGUGUACUAUGCUCUGGCUUCUCUAGUUAGACUUUUCUGAAACAACUGCAUUCUUAGUUUUUCAUUCUCGGCGUAUGAUCUGAGUUCUCCAAUGAACACUUUUUAGUGAGUGUAGGGAUCUCCCAAUCCAUCAUAUUUCUUGAAAUCGGGAGCCUUAAAUUUUUUCGGAUAAUUAAUCCCAUGGAAGAUGCAAAGGUCUGAAUAGGUAACGAUUCCGUGUGUUCCAGUCCCUUUGAUGGACCGAAUGGUCUCUUCCAUUUGUUGAACCUUCUUCCGAAUAUCACUGGUGUCUUGAUCUUCUUUAAGAUGGGUGAUUUCAGGGGUUUUGUUGGACUUCACAGUCUGAGACUCAGGUACUGGGACUUCUCUGUUCGGACCUUGGAUUCCUCCCUGUGUAGAGGAUUCAGUUUGGAUGGGUAUUUGUGGACCUUGAUUUGAUUUGUUUAGUUCUUUCAGAAGAACAUCCAACUCAGUUAUUUGAUUCCUUAAUCCUUCGAACUCCUCGCGAGAAACAGGAGUAGGAUUAGGCUGGGCACUUGUAGCCAUGUUUGACAGUGGGCUUAGUGUCUUUUUGGACUUUGAGCGGGUAACAUGACCAAUUGUUUUCCUACAAAAAGACUACGUAGUUUAGUCUGGGAAAACAUGGAGAUGUUAUAUGCUAUGCAAUGUGUCCACUUUUAGGAGUGUUUUCAUUAGCACAUGCUCCCCCCAUAUCAAAAAGUUCAACUUUCUUAUUUCCAAGGCUGCUCAUAUAUCUGAAGUGCAACCACAGCCAGAAAAAUUAUCUGAAUGCAUAGAAACCUAUAAGAUAAAGGAAAUAGAUCUAUUCUAAAAAAUAAUGCACUACCACAUAACAUUCUUAUGCUUAUAGAAAAUAAAUAGAAUAAAAAAAAUAAACCUAACAAAAACUGGAAUGACUAUGCAUAUGUAAGUUAAUUAUAAUAUGGUAUUUAGUGAAGAAAUAAAUCUCUCUUUAUUCAAAUAUGGUCAGUUGUCCAACUUAAACUACUAUGUUACUGAAAAAAUGGAUCACAACCUUUAAAUUCAGAAUAUCCAAAUCUAUAAUUGCACACUACUAGAAAAUUGACCUAUAAGCUGGGUCAACCAAAUUCGAGAAUGGAGUCAAAAUCAUUUAGAAGGUAAAAUGUUGGGUUCAAACACACAAGUCGGAGUAAAGAUGAUUUACCUUUGGAGGAUCAAGAACUCCUGCAUCAAUAGAAGUGAACUCAGCCCUCACUUAAAUGCCAAAUUCCUUAAAAAUACCACAAUUAUUAUAAUUAUUUUGUCUUACCAUCUGAAUGCACAUGAAAUUUAAGAAAUAAAACAAUUAGUCAAAAUCGGCAAAACCGACAAUAAAAAUAAGAAAGAGAAGUUUCAUGGUUGAAAGUAACAAACACUACAUUCUAUUUUUUGUUUUCCUAUUUUUUAAUUAAAAGACUAAAAUUCAGUACAUUUAUAUCAUCUUAAUACUUGCUUCCCUUUUAGCAAGACGCUCACAGAUUGCCCUUAAGAGGGAAGUUACCCAGCUUAAAUUUAGUUUUUUAGAAAAUUUUUGUCCUUAGACAAUCCUACAAACCUGUAAUACAAGGGUUGUUUAUUGUCUGCUAAUUAAGUUGCAAAUCAAAUAAUUGAGUUAAAGACACAAAAGUAAAGAAAUCCAAAAGAAAAUCAUAAAUAUAUGUAACCUCCACGAGUAGAUAUAUAGGUCUUGCAUCAGUUCUAGUUAAGAGCUGGUAAGUUUGCAUAUCAGAGUCUGUUAUGAUUAGUUCCAAAAUUAAAAGUGGUAAGUUUGCAUAUUUAAUCAAACCCAUACAGUAAAGAAAUAAUCAUUUAAGUAUUAUUACUCAUUAAUCUAAGUCUAAGUUCCAUCAUUGUAAUCCCUACUGGUGUGACUCCCCUACAUCUCUUCAUAUCCUAUGCAUUGGACGAAAAAAAGUUUGAUUACAUCCAGCUAUAAUUUUUAUACUUGUAAUAAUUUCAUGAUCAAUCUAUGUUGCUUUACCUUAUUGGUCCUUAUCAAUGCAAGUUUGUGAUUGUUAUCUUCUAAACUGGUCUUAUUGUCCCAACAAUUAAAGGUACGGGGAAGUAGUGUGCAAGUCCAUAAAUAACUUUUAUUACCGUAACUCUAGCAAGGUUCCUACACCCCCACUUUGUGUCCCAAUAAUAGUAAUACAUAGAAUGAUCAAAUUAUACCAAAUAGGACAAUGUGAUUAAAUGUGUACCUCUUGAAUUAAGCAAUAAUAAUACACCAUAAAGGAAGAGUUUAGAUGUCACUAUCAACAGAGUUUAGUGAUUGAAGAGUGUUUACAUCUCAAUAAAAAUUUUGAUUCUAUUAUUGUUUGUUCAUGUUCAUAGAAGAGAUAAUUUGAUUGCUCACGGGCUCGCAUAACUAUCUCAAAUGUUUAUUAUCUUUAUUCCCAAUUUUUGGCUGGACGAUAUUCAUUCAAGUGUUAUUCCUUUUGUUAUUAAAGAUGCUAAGAAUGAAGAAAAAAUUGAGUCAUGUUCCGGACUUCGAAAAAAAUAACAAUACAAAAGUCAUUUAACCUCCAGUUGAAUGAGCCAACUAUUUGCUCCUGACUCAUACCCGCGAUGCAAAUAAUAACCAUGCAAUGUUCCAUCUAAACAUAUUGUAAAAGUGAACACACAAUACUUAUAUUAGAAAAAAAAUCUUAAUACCGAAAAUAAGGUAAUUAAACCAUUUUAUAGGAAUUUUGUAAUUUAUUCAAGGGAAAAAAUUGAAGAUUAAAAAAAUAGGCCAUGUGAACCUACUAAUAUUAGAUUUCAACAUGCAUAGAUUACUUAUCAACUUAAAAAGAUAUUCUAAAUCCACCAACAGAAGUAGCUGGAACAUUUUAAUCUUAUAUAUGUGAUACCAACAAAUGCAUCUAACAAUCUAUAUAGCCUCCUAAACUCAAAAUAGGUGCUACACUCAAGACAUAAAAUAGCUCAACAAAACCAAGCUAAGCAGCCGCUGCAAUACAGUGUAGCGCAUGCGUGCGUGCUUACACUGUUGCUGCCAGCAGCUCAACCAUGCCUCUUUGAAAAAUCCGUAUCUUCAAAUUAAAGGUCCAAUCAUAACCAAUUUUUUUUAAUAAACAUAGCCUAAAUGAGUAUUUAAAAUAGGUGUUAUAGAACUUCAAAUGUGCCUCAUCAAAACAGAUGCAGCAGCGUAGCACAGUGCAGCCCAUGGUUGCCACUACUGCUGCUACCUCACCAUCAUGCCAUGAAUGAAAUGCUUGAUUGGCUAAUUUUUAAAUCAAAAACCACAUUCGCUUAAAGUGAAAUUUUGGUAUAUCAUAGAGAACAUAGCAAAGUAUUUUAAGAAAUAUAACAUACUCUAAACAAACAAUCUAAAUGGGUUUUAUAAAACAUCAAAAGUACACUAUUAAAAUAGUUUUCUAAUCAUAUUGUUCUCCUUUAAAAUAACAUUCCAACUUAAUCUAAUCCAUACAAACCAUUUAAUUAUCUACAUAUAGUAUCCAUACACUUACUUUUGGCAUCAAUUUCUACUCAAUUUCAAUGUUUAAACAAAACAGUCCCUAUCGGGACAUUUAUCAAACAAUACAUGUGCAUUCUUUAAAUUUUAGAAAUCACAACCAAUUAUUAUAUAUGGUUUGAUCAAUAUUUUUUAACCUUAUAGCUCCGCACACCAACAACUAAAUUCCAUCUUUCUAAUUCAUCCUAUCAUAGUCAAAAUAACCUCCAAAUUAUUGCACAAUUGUAACAUACCACACUACUAAAUUUUAUAUUACAAAAGCUAUGGACAAGAAAAUUACCUCUAUCCCGAUUAAAUUAGUUGAUUUCUCAGUGCAAGAAGAUCAAUUUAGACAGUCUUCCUUACCAAUGAUGCUCAAUUCCACAUACUAUAACAGUUAGCCAACUAACUGCUGCGGGAAGCUGGAACAGGGAAGGAUAUUUUUUUUUUUUGCAAACCUAUUCAGUGUUUUAGGUACUUUUAUUGUAAAGGAAAGCAAGAGAAGGAAACACACAUUAACACAAUAUAAAUUAACUUUAAAAUAUCAGCAUGUAUGGUUGGUUGGGUAACAACUACCGUGUGAUCCAACACAAGACACUUAUCAAACAAGCAUCUGAUAUCGAAAGAGUUUGAAAAAAGGGAAAUUACUCCCUCUGUCCUCUAAUAGUCUGAUUAAAGGCCCCGUUAGGAAGUUAAUAUUUUAAAGGAAAAUAUUAUAUACUAGGGAUUGUGAUAUAUAGUUCCUUGAUUUCAAAUUCAACUGUCUUGGGACAUUGCAAGGAAAAGUUGGACUAUUACGAAAAAAGUAACAAAAAAAAUCACUCGGCAAACAAACAAGCAAAAAGAUUUGACUUUCAAUAUAGAGUACUAGCCAUCAGACCCAUCUCCGCAGUUGGUGCACAAAUUAUGCUUCCAAAGAGUAAUUUUCAUCAAAACCCACAAUAUUAGAGUAAAAUCAAAGUGCAUUUUCCAAGGAGUUAUGAAUUUAAAACAACAACUACUAUUGGUUACCACAGAAAAUUAUACAAUCUACAACAACCACCACUAAACAUAUUAUCACAAAAACAUCAAUCAAUCAUGCAUAACCCAGAUAAAUUCCAUGUCAAGAAAACCUAAUUAAUAUUUAGCUCAACAUUCCAUCAAAGACAGAAGCUAUGCAACAUAGAUGACAUAUUCAAUUGUAGAGUUUUGGUGUAAACCCACUUUCAAUCGAUAUUGGGUUUCAAGCGAUUCAAAAAUUAAAUCAAAAUUUAAUUUAUACUGAAUUUAUUUUGGUCAAAAGUCCAACCCAGGAAGAUAGAGAGAGAAAUUCACCAGGGAACCCAAGAGGGGUGAAGAAAUCAAGAUUUUCAACCAAAGUUGUUCAAUUUUCCGUGAGGAGGAGAGAGAAACUCAAAAGGGUAGGCCAAAAACCAGAAGUAGCGUUAGAUGGCUACGAAGAAGAUAUGCUCGAGAUCUCUGAUCCCAAUUGUCAGAUCCGCUCCAAAACAUUCCAACUCUCCAACCUCUAGACACCAUUUUCCAUCUCUAAUCCACGAUCCUCCUCCGUCUCUUCAGCAAACAUUAAGAAGAAGAAGAUGAUCUUGAUAUCUUUUUGGGUUUAUAGCAAAAGAUAAAAGUUACGUAAUUAUAAUUAAG
rnacentral:lncRNA from 1 species